UGGUGGAUAGCUCAAAGGAAGAGCGCAUGACUACCCAUCAUGAAGUGUUGGUUCGAUUCCAACUCCAUCAACCA
rnacentral:tRNA from 1 species